CCACCCGGGGAUUGCCUUAGUACGGCGAGUGAAGCGGCAAAAGCUCAAAUUUGAAAUCUGGUACCUUCGGUGCCCGAGUUGUAAUUUGGAGAGGGCAACUUUGGGGCCGUUCCUUGUCUAUGUUCCUUGGAACAGGACGUCAUAGAGGGUGAGAAUCCCGUGUGGCGAGGAGUGCGGUUCUUUGUAAAGUGCCUUCGAAGAGUCGAGUUGUUUGGGAAUGCAGCUCUAAGUGGGUGGUAAAUUCCAUCUAAAGCUAAAUAUUGGCGAGAGACCGAUAGCGAACAAGUACAGUGAUGGAAAGAUGAAAAGAACUUUGAAAAGAGAGUGAAAAAGUACGUGAAAUUGUUGAAAGGGAAGGGCAUUUGAUCAGACAUGGUGUUUUGUGCCCUCUGCUCCUUGUGGGUAGGGGAAUCUCGCAUUUCACUGGGCCAGCAUCAGUUUUGGUGGCAGGAUAAAUCCAUAGGAAUGUAGCUUGCCUCGGUAAGUAUUAUAGCCUGUGGGAAUACUGCCAGCUGGGACUGAGGACUGCGACGUAAGUCAAGGAUGCUGGCAUAAUGGUUAUAUGCCGCCCGUCUUGAACA
rnacentral:rRNA from 1 species